UGUUAGUAGCUGGCCUCUGCGAUCUCUCUCGAAGUCUCCCUUUGCGCCGCUCACCGUGUAUAAAAGCGCUCGCUCCGGCCACCUCACCUCUGCAUCGCCCCGCUACCAAACUAGAGCAGCUCCCACGCCUCACCUUACCGCCGGCUGUAUGCCAUCACCAGGCCCCCAUAUCUCCCUCCCAACUCCCAUGUAGGAACCCCAUCUCCUCUUCGCGUGGCUGACGUGAUGUCGCACGCAGGAGUAUGGAAAGUAGUGCGUCUAGGCCGUGACGGCGUGUCGUUCCCGUCGUCGUCGUCGUGGGCCCUUGCAAGAGGGUUAGGCGGCGCUGUGGUGGAGGGUACUACGCCGGAAUGGGAAGGCCACGGUCCGGUGCUCUGGGCUACCGCGAGAGCAGCUUUGGCUGGGAGGGAUACUGCUCAGGCGUUUGGUGCGGCGGCAGGGUGCGCAGCUCGCACAUCCAGUUUGGCGGCAGGGCGUUGGCACAGCGCCACCGGCGCCGAGGCAUGCGAAGAACAAGACGGCAACACCGCGGGCCGCCUCGGCGCACAUCGUAGUCGUCCACCUCGACAUCUCGGCGUACGCUCAUGAACCGUCACGGAAGCCGUCGCGGAUGUUGAGGACAGGGGGCCACCGAUGGCGCAUCCGCGGAGGGGACGCUCCGCCGUGCUACCACCUGACGUUGAUCCUCCUCCUCUGUUGGCCGUCUCACUUAGCACACGGCCAUACUCUAGCCGGCUGCUUCGGUCCGGCAAUUGGCUGAUACGACCACGUGUUCUGUCACUACCGAGGUGCGGCCACCCGAUCAAGGAGUAUACUCGUGGACGACUAUGAAGAUUGAAGAAUUGCUUUCUUUAAAAGGAACAGGAUGGGGUCCACCUACACAUAGCACAAGAAGCCGCACCAUCAAACAAGUCGUCGUUGCUUUUGUUUCCUUAGAUCGGAUUAGAUAAACCAAGUCGGUUAGUAUGUUUUGGUAGGUCAAGUUUGUGUUUUCCUUGAAUUAGGGGUGUGGCUAGCGUGUUAGACCAAACCAUGGUUUGGUCAGCUAUAUUACUAUAAAUAGCCAUAGGUCGGCCAUUGUAAAGAGGAGGUUAUGAUUUAUGAAUAGACACGAUGUGUUCUUAGGGUAAAUACCCAUA